GGGUAAAAUUUUGAAUGGUACCACAUGGAUAAAACCAGCUAGAGGUCAGAUUCUAUAUACCUGACAAACAAGUCGAAAGCAAGAAAAGCGAACAUCCUUAAACUCAACAUUUCACAAUAAGUUUAGCUUUAUUUUGUUUGAUAUUUUGAAUUUUUAUGUUAAUUAUUUAUGAAGGAGCUACACACUAAACAAACAUGACAAGAUCGAUAUCUAAUAUAAAACCAUUGACGGGUAUCGAAAUACCUAUAAAGUAUGCAUAGUAGUAUCAUGUGCACUUUGAAUAGAAUAGAAAAAUCAUGAAAAACAAAUUGUGGGAUUUAAACUUAUAUAUAUAUAAACAAAAACAUUGAUUGUGUAUAUUAAAAGUGAAUUUUAAAUAGAUUUAUGCAAAAAUAUAAGUGAAUAUAUAACAUGACAGAACGUGUUCAAUAUAGAAGUGUAUCACAAGAAGAUACUGAUGACGAACUUCUAGAUGACCAUGAAGUUACGAACGAAAAUGCAGUAACAAUAUUAGGCGACGAUGAGACAGGGACUGUUUCAGGGAGUAAUGUCCGUUUGACUGAAGCUAAUUCGUCAUUUACCAAUAAGAGUAUCCAUGAAUGUAUUUGUGAAUCAAAGAACAGGAAGAAAAUUACGAUAGGAAUUAUUCUAAUAUUUACUUUCGUUAUUGUUCUCGUUUUAUUGGGUGUUGGAUUACAUAAUAUAAAUCUUAAGCAUACUGUUCAUGAUCCUGAUAAACAUUCAAAGACUAAUGUUUCUAGCAAUGGAUGAAGAAGUUUCAAUCUUAUAUUUUGAAAAGUAGCAGUAACUUACAGAAACUGAAAACAGCAAUCCUGAUUUGUUAGAAUGUAUUGGUGAUGUGUAUGGAAAGAAAUAUCUUGAAAAUAUAUACAUUUACUUUGCCUUGUACCAGAGACAACAACUGCAGAUAUGUUUUGUCAUUGUAGAAAUCCAGAGUUGAACUAAACAACAUUGUAUUAAAGUGAAUAAAUUAUUUGAAUUUCA